UACGUAGGGGGCUAGCGUUAUCCGGAUUUACUGGGCGUAAAGGGUGCGUAGGCGGUCUUUUAAGUCAGGAGUAAAAGGCUACGGCUCAACCGUAGUAAGCUCUUGAAACUGGAGGACUUGAGUGCAGGAGAGGAGAGUGGAAUUCCUAGUGUAGCGGUGAAAUGCGUAGAUAUUAGGAGGAACACCAGUAGCGAAGGCGGCUCUCUGGACUGUAACUGACGCUGAGGCACGAAAGCGUGGGGAGCAAACAGGAUUAGAUACCCUGGUAGUCCACGCCGUAAACGAUGAGUACUAGGUGUCGGGGGUUACCCCCCUCGGUGCCGCAGCUAACGCAUUAAGUACUCCGCCUGGGGAGUACGCUCGCAAGAGUGAA
rnacentral:rRNA from 1 species